rnacentral:rRNA from 1 species
AUUAGCUAGUUGGUGAGGUAAAGGCUUACCAAGGCUUCGAUCAGUAGCUGGUCUGAGAGGACGACCAGCCACACUGGGACUGAGACACGGCCCAGACUCCUACGGGAGGCAGCAGUGGGGAAUUUUGGACAAUGGGGAAACCCUGAUCCAGCCAUGCCGCGUGAGUGAAGAAGGCCUUCGGGUUGUAAAGCUCUUUCAGCCGGAACGAAACGGUCACGGCUAAUACCUGUGACUUCUGACGGUACCGGAAGAAGAAGCACCGGCUAACUACGUGCCAGCAGCCGSGGUAAUACUAGGGUCAAGCUUAAUCGAAUUACGGGGCUAAAGCUGCCCAG